rnacentral:rRNA from 1 species
UACGUAGGGUCCGAGCGUUGUCCGGAAUUACUGGGCGUAAAGAGCUCGUAGGUGGUUUGUCGCGUUGUUCGUGAAAACUCACAGCUCAACUGUGGGCGUGCGGGCGAUACGGGGCAGACUAGAGUACUGCAGGGGAGACUGGAAUUCCUGGUGUAGCGGUGGAAUGCGCAGAUAUCAGGAGGAACACCGGUGGCGAAGGCGGGUCUCUGGGCCGAUACUGACGCUGAGGAGCGAAAGCGUGGGGAGCGAACAGG